CCAAGAGACAAGGUACCAUCACAACGAAAAGCAAAUAGGAUACGUGGUGAGUUUCUCGGUUCCAACUUUGACUACAAGAGACGAUCCAUGGCGACUAUGAAUAAACUGCUGCUUCUUCUAGCCACUGUCCUUCUAGUGUCAUCCUCAGCCUUGGCGGCGCAAAUUCCUCCUCAGUACGAUUGCUCGAAGGUGAUCUACUCCGGCAAAUGCCAAGCGGUCACGUGCUACACGGACUGCCUGAAGAAGUACGUCAGAGCAGAAGGCAUCUGCGUCCCGGAGGGAUGCAAGUGCAACUAUUAUUGCAAAUCCCUCCUUCCCCAAGCACAACGCAACUGAUGAACUAAAUUCAUGAUGAUUAGUGUGCCAAGGACGGAUGGCCUUGUGUAACGACGAUCUGAUGGGAUCUGCAUGAUAAUUGCAGAAGAGAUUUGGAUGUGGGUGUAGUAAUCUUGUUACUCAUGUAGAAAUAUUGGACGUUGUAAGAGAAAAUAAUAAAUGGUAAGCGGAUUUUCUA